GAGAGCAGCGUUGGCCGGGGGCUAGGGAGCCGGGCUGUUCCACGCUCACUGUGCGCCUCGGGCGGCGGGGCUCGGGCUCUGUCCGAGGUGCUGAACUCCGGGGCUCCGGCCGCGCCGGCAGAGUGUGCCAGCGUCCAUUAUUGCCAGUGUCUGUGGGCAUCUUCCAGAAGGCCGAGCAUGGGGGUCAGGUGAAACCAGGGCGCCAUGAAUAUCAAUUAUUACAGAAAUGAAAAGGGAUCCUGCACCCAAAUUCAAAUCAAGCAAGUUCACCUAGAGGUUGCCGUGGGGUGGAGGGCCCAGAUCUGGGCUGUUUGGAUCUCUCUGCAGGAUGAAAGGGAUUUCCUGGACCUGGCUUUGCUGUCCCUUGCUCCUUUUCCAUGUGAGACUCGCCUGCUUCUCCUUUGCCUCCCACCAUGACUGUAAGUUUCCUGCGACCUCCCCAGCCGUGCUUCCUGUACAGCCUGCAGAACUGUUCAUAGGCAGAAGUAACUUGCCUUGUCUCAGAUGAAGCUUUGGACUGUGGACUUUUGAGUUAAUGCUGAAAUGAGUUAAGACUUUGGGGGACUGUUGAGAAGACAUGAUUGGUUUGAAAUGUGAGGACAUGAGAUAUGGGAGGGGCCGAGGUGGAACGAUAUGGUUUGGCUGUGUCCCCACCCAAAUCUCAUCUUGAAUUGUAGCUCUCACAAUUCCCACAUGUCAUGAGAGGGACCUGGUGGGAGAUAAUUGAAUCACUGGGGCGGGUCUUUUUCGUGCCAUUCUCAUGAUAACAAAUAAGUCUCAUGAGGUCUGAUGGUUUUAUAAGGGGGGGUUUCCCUGCACAAGUUCUCUCUUCCCUGCCACCAAGUAACACAUGUCUUUUGCCUUCUGCCAUGACUGUGAGGCCUCCCCAGCCAUGUGGAAUUGUACUUCCAUUAAACGUCUUUUCCUUUAUAAAUUA
rnacentral:lncRNA from 1 species